CUUCGGUUGAUCCUGCCGGAGGUUACUGCUAUCUGUGUUCGACUAAGCCAUGCAAGUCAUAUGUUCCUCGUGAACAUGGCAUACUGCUCAGUAACACGUGGAUAACCUGCCCUUGGGUCUGGGAUAACCCCGGGAAACUGGGGAUAAUACCGGAUGACGCAUAUGUGCUGGAAUGCUUUAUGCGUAAAACGGAUUCGUCCGCCCAAGGAUGGGUCUGCGGCCUAUCAGGUAGUAGUGGGUGUAAUGUACCUACUAGCCAACAACGGGUACGGGUUGUGAGAGCAAGAGCCCGGAGAUGGAUUCUGAGACAUGAAUCCAGGCCCUACGGGGCGCAGCAGGCGCGAAAACUUUACAAUGCGGGAAACCGUGAUAAGGGAACACCGAGUGCCAUCAUCAUAUGCUGGCUGUCCAGAUGUGUAAACUACAUCUGUUAGCAAGGGCCGGGCAAGACCGGUGCCAGCCGCCGCGGUAACACCGGCGGCCCGAGUGGUGACCGUUAUUAUUGGGACUAAAGGGUCCGUAACCGGU
rnacentral:rRNA from 1 species